CUGGUGGCAGGCCUAACACAUGCAAGUCNACCGCCCGUAGCAAUACGGGAGCGGCAGACGGGUGAGUAACGCGUGGGAACGUGCCCUUUAGUUCGGAAUAACUCAGGGAAACUUGAGCUAAUACCGAAUACGCCCUUCGGGGGAAAGAUUUAUCGCUAAAGGAUCGGCCCGCGUAAGAUUAGCUAGUUGGUGAGGUAACGGCUCACCAAGGCUAUGAUCUUUAGCUGUUCUGAGAGGAAGAUCAGCCACACUGGGACUGAGACACGGCCCAGACUCCUACGGGAGGCAGCAGUGGGGAAUAUUGGACAAUGGGCGCAAGCCUGAUCCAGCCAUGCCGCGUGAGUGAUGAAGGCCUUAGGGUUGUAAAGCUCUUUUACCAGGGAAGAUAAUGACGGUACCUGGAGAAUAAGCCCCGGCUAACUUCGUGCCAGCAGCCGCGGUAAUACGAAGGGGGCUAGCGUUGCUCGGAAUCACUGGGCGUAAAGCGCACGUAGGUGGGUCGUUAAGUCAGGGGUGAAAUCCUGGAGCUCAACUCCAGAACUGCCUUUGAUACUGGCGAUCUUCGAGUCCGGGAGAGGUGAGUGGAACUGCGAGUGUAGAGGUGAAAUUCGUAGAUAUUCGCAAGAA
rnacentral:rRNA from 1 species